AUUGAACGCUGGCGGCAUGCUUUACACAUGCAAGUCGGACGGCAGCGCGGGCUUCGGCCUGGCGGCGAGUGGCGAACGGGUGAGUAAUACAUCGGAACGUGCCCAGUAGUGGGGGAUAGCUCGGCGAAAGCCGGAUUAAUACCGCAUACGACCUGAGGGUGAAAGCGGGGGACUUUAGGGCCUCGCGCUAUUGGAGCGGCCGAUGGCAGAUUAGCUAGUUGGUGGGGUAAAGGCCUACCAAGGCGACGAUCUGUAGCUGGUCUGAGAGGACGACCAGCCACACUGGGACUGAGACACGGCCCAGACUCCUACGGGAGGCAGCAGUGGGGAAUUUUGGACAAUGGGCGCAAGCCUGAUCCAGCAAUGCCGCGUGUGUGAUGAAGGCCUUCGGGUUGUAAAGCACUUUUGGCAGGAACGAAAAGUGCCGUGCUAAUCCCACGGUACGAUGACGGUACCUACAGAAUAAGCACCGGCUAACUACGUG
rnacentral:rRNA from 1 species